GGGGGGUUUCGUCUGCUCCCUGCGAUGAUUCUUGGCUUACGUUCUACAAUUCUGAAAGAGCAUUAUUCUGGCACUCUACGUGUUAAGCAUCUAUGCUGUGCAGUCGCAACUGGUCUCUCUGUCCUCAGCCUGCCAUUAACAGUUGCUUUCCCACACUGGCAUCAUCAGGGAUUUCUUAUCUAAACUUAUCCCGUGACUCCCAUUAUUCCCACGAAAAAGUUCACAACUUGCUGGGCCCCACAGAACAUUCAAGCAUGUGCUUCUGGAGCUGUGCCUCAUGCAGGGUCCACAUCAUUGCCUGUGUGCAUGCCACAUGGACACCUGGAGCACGCUGUGUGCCCCGUGCUUCCACACCCUGUGCCUGUACACCUGCCCCUCCCUGUGCCUCUUCUGGGCCUGGCUAGUUCCUCCUAGUCACUCAGUAUGCAGUGUAGCAGUCACCUACUGCAGGAGGGCUUCCCAGCCCCCCCAGUAAUAGAAAUGAGAAAACCCUCUGUAGGGCUUCUGUAAACUGGGUGUUAGCCUCCAUCAUGGCAGCUUCAAUCAGUGUUUCUCAAACUGUACUUUUCAGAGUCUUCUAGGUUCCAAGGAACCUUCUCUGUGGCUACCGCAAGUUGUGGUAUCUCUUUUUUGUGCUUAGCUUCAUUAUGAGAUUUCCUUUAAACAAGAAUUUCCAAGAGCUUGAAAGAAGAAGAAAAAAAAGAAAAAAGAAAUUGGAAAAAUCACUGCUGUAGGCUAGUGCUUCUCAAGAAAUGAUAAUAGAAAUAUGAUAGUAUCCAUAGAAAAUGAUAGUAUCCAUACGGUACCUCAAGAAAAUGGUCAAAGCUGCCUUCAGCCAGAGAUGACCAUCCUGUGGGCUUCCGCUGCCCCAGGCACUGCCUGACCACUCCAGGAGCCAAGGAGAUAAGUAUCUCAGGUUACUCUUCUUGCUGAACGUUGUGCUUUCUUUUCCACCGUGAUAUGCCCUCAGAAGCAGUGCAGAGGCAGAAGACACUGCUGCAUUGUUGUGAACAGGGUUUGAGUCACAGCAAAGAGGCCAGAA